UUAUCUAUACAUAUAAUAAAAUCGUAGAAAAGUGCUGUCUGUACAUUGAAAAUAAAAAUAAAAAAAAUAGCAGGGGUUAUUGUUAUGUCGAUGUCGAACCCAAAAAUGUAAUUAACUUUUUUUUUGUCUGUUUGUCUGUUUGUCUGUUUGUCUGUUUGUCUGUUUGUCUGUUUGUCUGUUUGUCUGUUCGUCUGUGCGCGCUAAUCUCAGAAACGACUGAUCCGAGUUGGAUGCGGUUUUCACGAAUAUAUUGUGGGAUGCUUAAAUUUACAUUUAGUGUUUGUUUCAUGUCAAUCGGUUCAUAAAUAAAAAAGUUAUGUCAAAUUAAAGAAUCACGUCGAACAUUCUAUGCUUAUACCAUUAAUCUCCGCAACUAUUUGACGGAUUUGGUUGAAAUUUGGUACAGAUAUAGUUUAGAACCUUAGAAAGGACAUAGAUAUAUUUUUAUUUCAAAAAUCAAAAAAUAAAAAUAAGAAAUAAAUUAUUUAUAAAUAAUUCUAUGUCGAUCGUUACACGACUUCGGUUCAUGUUAUUGUUUUAAUUCAUCGAAAAAAAGUAAAUAAAUAGUAAAAAGGUAUGAAAAAAAUAAUAUCAAUAUAAUUAAACUUUUAGUACAAAGAAAAUGCCCGAACGGAGUAUAAAUAAAUAAUCCAAGUUGUCUUUAUCCUUGAUAGAUGGCGUUGGGAUCGAAAUAGAUCGCGCUAUGGUUUCGUUACAUUCAUUUGGUUGGGUAUCGGCCGAGCGCUUCGGUACUAUCGUAGAAAAAGUCUAUUAUCAGUCGUAUGAUUAUUUGUCUGUAGUGGUCCUGCUGUUUCGUAUAUUCUAAAUUGGUUUCGUUGUAUUUGUCAAUUAAUAAGUUUAUUUGUUGGGUUUUCCUGGUUUUUUGGUUAAACUAUUUAACGUAGGUUUAGUUUGAUAUCGAUUAUUAGUAGUUACUGUAGUUAGUUUUUUUAAUAAAAUUGUAAGUCUAAUUUAUAAAUUAAUUAGAUUAGAUUUAAGUCGUUUCUUUUAAAUUAUUUAGUUUAAGCUUGGUUAUUAUAGCAUAGAGGAUAGGUUGUAAUAUAGUUUCUUUUUUAAUUGUUAUAAAUUCGUAAUUCGUAGCUUUCUUUAGUUGUAAGUUAGUUUAAGUCCGUUUUUAAACUAUUUUUUCAAUGCCCUAAGUGAGUAUACAUCUAUUAAAUUCAAACGCAGAGCUCAUUAUGUUGAUUUUUGAAGAGUUCCCUGGAAUAUCUUCCACAUCUCAUUUUUGAAGAGAUCCCGCGAGAUCGGGAACUAUGUGGUUAAAACCAAAAAUUUGCCGGAAGUCACUAUUCCACGCGAACGAAGUCGCGGGCAAAAGCUAUAAUAAUACAGUACAUUGUUUAAAA